rnacentral:rRNA from 1 species
AGUGGGUGUAACGGACCCACUAGCCAAUGACGGGUAUGGGCCUUGAGAGAGGGAGCCCAGAGAUGGACUCUGAGACACGAGUCCAGGCCCUACGGGGCGCAGCAGUCGCGAAAACUUCACACUGGGGGCAACCCUGAUGAGGGAAUUCCUAGUGCCUGCAUUUUGUGUAGGCUUUUCUCUAGUGUAGAUAGCUAGAGGAAUAAGGGCCGGGUAAGACGGGUGCCAGCCGCCGCGGUAAUACCCGCGGCCCGAGUGAUGGUCGAUAUUAUUGAGUCUAAAACGUCCGUAGCCUGUUCAGUAAGUCUUUGGGUAAAUCGGCCAGCUCAACUGACCGAAUUCCGGAGAGACUGCUGAACUUGGGACCGGGAGAGGUGAGAGGUACCUUGAGGGUAGGGGUGAAAUCUUGUGGUCCUCGGGGGACCACCAGUGGCGAAGGCGUCUCACCAGAACGGAUCCGACGGUAAGGGACGAAAGCUAGGGGCACGAACCGGAUUAGAU